CCACACUUCCAUUAAGGGGGGAAUUGAGCAGAGGACAUGAGAGGACAGAUCGAAUUACUCUUUGUGUGAACGCAGAUUGAAUAGAAGUGUGUGCAGCCAGAAAACAGAAAAAAAGAACCAUGUUAAAAGCUGUGCGUGUUUAUCAGAAGACACAGAUUUUCAAAUUUUCACAAAGACUGUUCCAAGAUUAUAUUCUACAACAGACAAAUAAAGAAAGUAGCACAAGAUACAACGUGAAGUCUAGAAGCAAGCACGUGGCAGAGAUUGACAAGCAUCCAGAAUCAAGCCCAGAACUGC